GCUGGGCACGGUGGUAAAUACCUGUAGUCCUAGCUACUCGGGAGGCUGAGGUGGGAGGAUCGCUUGAACCCAGGAGUUCUGGGCUAUAGUGCGCUGUGCCAAUCGGGUGUCCACACUAAAUUCUGCAUCAAUAUGGUGACCUCCCAGGAGCGGGGGACCACCAGGUUGGCUAAGGAGGGGUGAACCGGCCCAGGUUGGUAAGGAAGCAGGUCAAAACUUCCGUGCUAAUCAGCAGUGGGAUCGCGCCUGUGAAUAGCCACUGUACUCCAGCCAGGGCAACAUAGCGAGACCCCAUCUAA
rnacentral:SRP_RNA from 1 species